GUACCGGAGUCCUUCCAAGCCACGCACUUUGGCAGCUUCGUGCAGCAGCUCAACCUCUAUGGCUUCCAAAAGGUGCCGGGCUGGGUUGGCUCAGAUGAGCCGGCCGAUACCGGGGGCUGGCUCCACUUCAGGAACCCCAACUUUCGGCGCGACCGCCCCGACCUCCUGCUCCGCAUCAAGCGCCUGACCAGGGCCAACAGGCAGCGGCUGGCGGCGGGGCUGGAGGUGCGCAGCCGCCAGCCCAGCCGCUUCCAGCAGCUCCACACGGAGCGAACAGCGCUCUCCUUCCCCAUCGGGCAGCUCCCCAGAGCCGAAGUGCCCUUGCUGCCAAGGGAAGCCCACCCAAAGACCAAUGGAGACCCAGCCUUCCCUUUGCUUCCUUUCUUCUGCACUCAAUACUGCACAGCUCCCUCAUGUGAGAAGCUCACCUGCCUCACCUGAGUGUUUAAAGCUGCCUCCAGGCCCUUCCAGGCGAAGUGUAGGUGCUCAGGAUUCAGAGACUUCUCCAGUACCUCCCAAGAAUGUCUUUGUCACCUCCAGACUUCUUGGGGUUUCACCAGUCGAGCCAUCAAGGGAACUCAUCCGGAAAGCUAAUCUCUGCAAGGUCACCAUUCCUCUGGUUCACAUGGACCUCAAACGCCACCCUGAGCUCAUGGUUCGCCUGACUCACAUCGACCCUGAGGCCACCUGCAGGGCCCUUCAAGAGAGCAGCAGCUGCGCAGCUGCAGAGCAGCACACCCCAGCCAACAAUCCAUCAGGCAGGGAAAGAAUUUCUACCCUUCCUUUUCAAACAGGUCCUUGAAAUUGACUCUUUGAAGUCUGGGGAGAUAGGAAAGGCUGUGAUCAUGAAGUCUUCGCAUCCCUUUGGAGCAGAGGGGAAAGCACCUGGCAGUUGGGUUUCUGGUGGUUGCCUCCUGCUACGGAGGACCAGUGGGACAGUUUUCUCUGUGUGCUCUCAUGGAUAGAUCUCAAGUGAGAAUCAGGUAGAAAGUGUCAAGUCAGCUCGGAAGGAGGACCUUGAAAACAUAAAGAUUCUCUGCCUGCUUUUCCUCUCCUUGCUGAAGAUUUGGAGGGUGUUCUGGGCAUUUUCCAGACAGCCUCUCUGUAAUGGUACAAGGGUAAGGUGAAAGAUACUGCCUAACAAGUGGUCAGUGUUAGGUGUACUCUCCCCUUUCUUUGAAGGAAGCCAAACUAGGAUGGUGAUAGGAUAUUGCAGAUGUUUAAGACUGUCUGCCCUGCAAAUCAAGCCGUGCCAUUGAAAUGAGCCCUGUGUGCCCCACAACAGCUGCAGCUGCAGAAUACAGCCGCACCCACAAGCUCCCUCACACCAGAACCUUGCUGCUGCCUCACCUGAGGAUUCAGAGCUGCCUCCAGGCCCUUCCAGGACAAGUCCAGGUCCUCAAGAGCAUGAGGCUUCCCCAGCACCUCCCAAGAAAGUGUCUGCCACCUCCGGACCUCUUGGGGUUUCAUCAGCCAGGCACACAGAGAUUUCAACUCCAGUCUGAGCUCAUAAUUCCACCAGUUCCUGUGGACCAGCAAAACACUUCUGUGGCCUCUACAGAGAUCAGUAGCUGCACAUCUCCAGAGCAGCACUUGCCAGCCUACAGCCCAUCAGCCACCCCAGACAUUUCAGCCCCCAGCACUCCAGCUGGCAGCACAGGUUUUGCAGCAUGGACAGCCCCCAGCUGGCUGUGGAAUAGUCCUGGGAAAGAGGAAUUGCUGCUGCCAGAUCUUGAUAUGGUGCUUGAGACGCUGGAGGAGAUGUUUGCUCCCUCUGCUCAGGGGAAUAGUCAUGUUGCCCCUGAGUCUUCAGGAGGGGAGCCUGUGGACAGAGCUGCAGCAGAGGGAGCUUUGCCAGGCACCAAGAGCUGUGGGAACUAUUCCCAGGAGCCCAAGGAGUUCGGUAAGGACAUGAGCCCAUACUGGUUUAGAGAGGUGUGAGAUGGCUGCUCUGAGCCUGCCUCUGGCAGGAAGGGAGAUGAGAAGAGUUGAGUUCCUGUCUGCGGGCUCGGUGCUUCCUGGUGCCUUUAGUUCAAAUCCUGCACUGGCACACCCUGCCUGAGCCCUGCCCUCCACGCUUCUCCAGAGGCUGUGACACUGAGUCCUCUGCUGUAGCAAGAGAGCAGGGAAUAAACCUGACCUUGUGGGACUUGUGUCAGCAAGCCCAGUGUCCCAGCUUUGUGCUGAUGUCCAUGGAUAAGUUUGCUGCAGGGUGUCAGUGCUCUGGAGGCAACACUGAGUGACUCUUGAAGCAAGAGAGGGAAAGCCCAGAAAAAAGUCAGUGUAGAAGUCCAAGCUUUUUGUCUCCAAGCAUUAAAUCAAUGUAGUUCCAGUCUACAGAUAGGUGUAGUGAGAUAGAUAAAAAAUACAAGCAGCAGAAGCUCUGAGGCCAAUGAAAUCAUUAAUCACAAAUCCAGUAGUUCAAGGAAAAACUGAAAUUACCCCAAAUUAGUGAGAAAAAAAAAGAAGAGAGAGAGCACUUUGGAUCUGCAUUCUUGAGCAAAGCUGGUGCAGCCUGCAGGCCUGCUAGGGAGCUCUUUCCCUCCCUGCUGUUCAUCCCAGAGCUGGUGGUUGUUUUGGAGGAGCUGUUGCUCACUGCAGAGGGCAGGCUGUAGAUGGCAGGGAACGGUGCUAGUUCAUAUUUCAGCUCCCAGCACCUUCAGCUUCUGCCAUUUCAGUGAGGACUGAGGUCUCUCUGUCAGCACAGAGAAAGAACAAGGCUGGGCUUCUUUGUGGCACCUGGGACUGUCCGUGCUUCAAGCUCUCGUGGGGGCCCUUUGCACUGUGAGUGCUGUGAGUUUAUUGGGAUACUUCAAAACUUCAGAUGUUUUGAACACUUGGAAGGAUCCCUGUUCUUUAAAGAGCAGGUCUGAAAUUGUCAAGUAAGAGUUUGCCUUUCAGGCCAUUUUUUCAGUCUUUGAUAGAAGGACAGUUACUUGAAAAAGGGAGAGAUGCACAGAUGUCCCUGGAGCGGUGGGAGCUGCUGCUGGCCCCAGGCACUGUCCCCUGAGGAGCUGCUGAAGGACGCUGCAAUGAAGACCUUGAGGACAGCCGGAGACCGACGGGAGCCAGCAGGGAGAAGCUGAAGGCCAGCAGCAGGAGCAGGGAACGGGGACCUGCUGCUGCCAGCCUGGAGAGAGCUCGGAUGUCCCAUCUGCUGUCCCUGUCCAGGAGAGCUGCUCUGCACGGGAGGCGGAGACCGAGGGAGAGGCUUUGAAGGUGGGGCAGCUGGGAUCCCUCUGCUUGGAGUUCUGUGGAUUUGCACAUAGGCAGUGCUAAUUACAUCAAUCUGUACAUAUCUUGCUACUUGUAUUGAUACUUACUAUAUUUCUAUAAAUACAAUACUUGUAUUUAUAAAUGUACUGUGUAUAUAUGUACCUAUAUAUACAUAAAGGUUUGCAGUUACAUAUUUGUGUGUAUAUGUAUCUAGUUCUUUAUGUAUGUUGAAAUCUCUGUGUUUUGAUUUCCAUAUGUAUACAGUUGUGUAGGUAUCUAUUUGUACUGAUGUAGUUUUUGGUACAUGUCUUUUUAAAGGGGAAAUUGCUAUUUGUAUCAGUAUAUAUGUCUAUUUUUAUAUGUAUAUUGACCUUUUAAUAUAUGUAAUUAUAUUUACAUGUGUAUUGAGAUGUAUAGCUGUAUAUUUGUAUUGAUAUUUAGCUUGGCACAGUGAUACUUUUAUAUUUUAGAUAGGUUUGUGUUAUAUAUCUGUUUAUAUAUAUUGCAUGUAAUAUGUAAUAUUUAAUCUAUGUUUGCAUCUGUAGAUUGUUAUAUAUGUAUUUAUAUACAUUUGUGUCUAUAUAUGUUUUUAUUUAUGUGUCAACAUGUAUGGAGUGGUAUAGUUGUAUAAUUCUAUUGAUUCUAUAUAUAAUUCUCUGAGUUCUUGGUACAGGGCUGUUUAGAGAGGGAAUGCAGAUUUUUGUAUUUCUGUAUGGGCUGUACACUUGUAGUAAUAUGUAAUAACUUGUUAAACACCUAAUUGAUCUUUGUGUAUAGUGAGUUGUUGUAGAGGCUGGCAAUAUUUUUUUUUUUUAACUGAAGUUGUAUUUUUAUAUUUUUAACUAGACUGGUAGUAAUAAUCUAAUAAAUUUCUGGUUUUUAUCUAAAUUGAGAUUUGUAUAGUUCUGUAUUGUCAGUGCAGGUGUAGCAAUUUGUAAUAAAUGUCAUUUUUCAACUGAAA